UUCGCCCUUUUCCGGUUGAUCCUGCCGGACCUGACUGCUAUCGGAUUGAUACUAAGCCAUGCGAGUCAUUGUAGCAAUACAAGGCGGACGGCUCAGUAACGCGUAGUCAACCUAACCUAUGGACGGGAAUAACCUCGGGAAACUGAGAAUAAUGCCCGAUAGAACACUAUACCUGGAAGGGUUUGUGUUCCAAAUGAUUUAUCGCCGUAGGAUGGGACUGCGGCCUAUCAGUUUGUUGGUGAGGUAAUGGCCCACCAAGACUAUUACAGGUACGGGCUCUGAGAGGAGUAGCCCGGAGAUGGGUACUGAGACACGGACCCAGGCCCUAUGGGGCGCAGCAGGCGAGAAAACUUUGCAAUGUGCGAAAGCACGAC
rnacentral:rRNA from 1 species